rnacentral:rRNA from 1 species
AAGCUCGUAGUUGAAUUUCGGGGUCAGUAGGUCGGUCGUGCCACCGGUACGUACUGGCUUCACUGAUUCCUCCCUCUUGCAGAACCGUGAUGCCAUUAGUUUGGUGUUGCGGGGAAACAGGACUGUUACUUUGAAAAAAUUAGAGUGUUUAAAGCAAGCUAACGCUUGAAUACAUUAGCAUGGAAUAAUGAAAUAGGACGUUGAUCUUAUUUUGUUGGUUUCUAGGGUUGACGUAAUGAUUAAUAGGGAUAGUUGGG